GAUGAACGCUGACAGAAUGCUUAACACAUGCCAGUCUUUGGCGAAGCUGUGCUUGCACAGCCUAGCCAAGGCGGACGGGUGAGUAACGCGUAAGGAACUUGCCCUGCAGUCAGGGAUAACAGACGGAAACGACUGAUAAGACCUGGUAAAGUCAGGCGGACUCAUGUCCAGCCUGAUGAAAAGAGAUGCUGCAGGAGAGCCUUGCGUCCUAUUAGCUUGUUGGUGGGGUAACGGCCCACCAAGGCGAUGAUAGGUAGCCGGCCUGAGAGGGUGGACGGCCACAAGGGGACUGAGAUACGGCCCUUACGCCUACGGGAGGCAGCAGUGGGGAAUAUUGGACAAUGGGGGCAACCCUGAUCCAGCAAUUCUGUGUGCACGAUGAAGGUUUUCGGAUUGUAAAGUGCUUUCAGCAGGGAAGAAAAAAAUGACGGUACCUGCAGAAGAAGCGACGGCUAAAUACGUG
rnacentral:rRNA from 1 species